rnacentral:rRNA from 1 species
GCUCAAAUUUGAAAUACUGGCCUCUUUGGGGUCCGAGUUGUAAUUUGUAGAGGAUGUUUCGGGCACCGCUCCGGUUUAAAUUUCUUGGAACAGAAUGUCAAAGAGGGUGAGAACCCCGUCUUGGACCGGCAGUAGGGCCCAUGUGAAACUCCUUCGACGAGUCGAGUUGUUUGGGAAUGCAGCUCAAAAUGGGUGGUAAAUUUCAUCUAAAGCUAAAUAUUGGCCAGAGACCGAUAGCGCACAAGUAGAGUGAUCGAAAGAUGAAAAGCACUUUGAAAAGAGAGUUAAACAGUACGUGAAAUUGUUGAAAGGGAAGCGCUUGCAACCAGACUUGCGCGCGGCGGUUCCCCCUUCCUUUUGGUUGGGUUAUUCCGCCGUGUCCAGGCCAACAUCGGUUCUGGGGGUCGGUUAAAGGCCUGGGGAAUGUAUCUACCCUUCGGGCGUAGACUUAUAGCCCCGGGUGUCAUGCGACCUCCCGGGACCGAGGAACGCGCUUCGGCUCGGAUGUUGGCGUAAUGGUUGUCAGCGACCCGUCUUGA